rnacentral:rRNA from 1 species
AGUUAAGCUAUAAAAGGGUUAACCCUAGUUAAUGAAAUACGGCGUAAAGCGUGAUUAAGAGACUAAUUAAAUAGGAUUAAAAUACUACUAAACCGUAAAAAGUCUUGGUAGUAAUGAAAAUCAAAUACGAAAGUAAUCCUAAAUUUUCUGAAUACACGAUAGCUAAGACCCAAACUGGGAUUAGAUACCCCACUAUGCUUAGCCCUAAACAUAAACAUUUAACAAACAAGAAUGUUCGCCAGAGUACUACUAGCAAUAGCCUAAAACUCAAAGGACUUGGCGGUGCUUUAGAUCCC